rnacentral:tRNA from 1 species
CUGCCGCUGGGCGAGGUGGCGGAGCUGCUGGGGUUUUCGGGGCCCAGCAGCUUCAGCCACUGGUUCCGCAAUCAGUUCGGCUGC